CAUGCGCAUGGUGCGGCAUGCAAACCAAGCAGCCAACUGAUUAGCUUACUAUGAUAAAACCUUGUUUGCAGAGCAAAACUCAUGAUGUCCCGCGAAUCAGUAGGCCGGCAUGCAUAGUAGGUGUUAUGAAUCUGAGGUAGAUGGCCCAGCCGGCGCCGCACUAUGCUCCGCUUCAACAAAUGAUAGUUUUCGAUGGAACCCGUGGAUGGGUUAACCUCCUUCCUUGGGCCGGAUGACUAGGCUUGUCCCAUUUAAAAUGUUAAAAGGAGUGUGAUGUAUUUUAGAUUAUCCUUCUGACUAUAUUACCUUCUUUACUGCUCGUCAUUUUGAAGAGAUUUUAUGGACUCACUGUGUACAUGUUCUUCCACUAUUGUGGAGUAUUUUGGCUUGCGGCUCUGUUAGCAAUGCUCACGCGAAGUUAGUGGGAGCGGCCGG
rnacentral:lncRNA from 1 species